rnacentral:rRNA from 1 species
GAAGGGGGCUAGCGUUGUUCGGAAUUACUGGGCGUAAAGCGCGCGUAGGCGGUUUUGCAAGCCAGAGGUGAAAUGCCUGAGCUUAACUUAGGAAUUGCCUUUGGGACUGCGAGGCUUUGAGGACGGGAGAGGUGAGUGGAAUUCCCAGUGUAGAGGUGAAAUUCGUAGAUAUUGGGAAGAACACCGGUGGCGAAGGCGGCUCACUGGCCCGUUUCUGACGCUGCAGCGCGAAAGCGUGGGGAUCAAACAGGAUUAGAUACCCUGGUAGUCCACGCUGUAAACGAUGAGUGCUAGGCGUCGGCAGGCUUGCCUGUCGGUGCCGCAGCUAACGCGUGAAGCACUCCGCCUGGGGAGUACGGUCGCAAGAUUAAA